UACGAACUGUGCGAACGUUAUUCGGAAUCACUGGGCUUACAGGGUGCGUAGGCGGCUAUUCAGGUCAGGUGUGAAAGCCCCCGGCUCAACCGGGGAACUGCCUGCCAGACUGGAUGGCUUGAGACCGGGAGAGGUGAGUGGAAUUCCCAGUGUAGCGGUGAAAUGCGUAGAUAUUGGGAGGAACACCAGUGGCGAAGGCGGCUCACUGGCUCGGUACUGACGCUGAGGCGCGAAAGCGUGGGGAGCAAACAGG
rnacentral:rRNA from 1 species